UUGUAUGAAUUCCACAGAAAAGGUUUUUGAAAGUGAAGAUGAAAGCCCACAGGAGGCACACUGUUCAUCUACUGCUGAUGAAGAGACUCUUCCUCACAUCGAGAGCCCUGAAAUUCCACCAACCAAGAAGCGAAGACAACGGCCGUUGGUUGAAAUGCCGGAAGAAGUCGGCGCUAUGAGGCCUUCCUCACAAGGUAAAGCUGCAAAGAAGAAAAAACCCUGGCAGCCGACAGAGGUCCAGGCAGUCGAGAGG
rnacentral:lncRNA from 1 species